rnacentral:tRNA from 1 species
GUUUAUAUAAUUUAUAUAAAAUGUUAAUUUUGUAAAUUAAAAAUAAGUUAAUAACUUUAUAAACA